rnacentral:rRNA from 1 species
GCUAACGGCUGAAAGGUUUGUGGCAAGAAGCCUAAACAAAAUUUUGUUUUAUAACAUAAAUUUUGACCUCAAAUCAGGUAAGGAUACCCGCUGAACUUAAGCAUAUCAAUAAGCGGAGGAAAAGAAACCAACUGGGAUUGCCUUAGUAACGGCGAGUGAAGCGGCAAAAGCUCAAAUUUGAAAUCUAGUGCCUUCGGUACUCGAGUUGUAAUUUGAAGAAUUUAUCUCCUUUCCAAACCUUUAUCUAUGUUCCUUGGAACAGGACGUCAUAGAGGGUGAGAAUCCCGUGUGAUUUUGGAUUUGGAAUUUUGUGAGAUUUAUUCGAAGAGUCGAGUUGUUUGGGAAUGCAGCUCUAAGUGGGUGGUAAGUUCCAUCUAAAGCUAAAUAUUGGCAAGAGACCGAUAGCGAACAAGUACAGUGAUGGAAAGAUGAAAAGAACUCUGAAGAGAGGGUGAAAAAGUACGUGAAAUUGCUGAAAGGGAAGGGCUUUAGGUCAGACUUGGUGUUUAAUACUCAGUUCUCCUUGUGGGAGCUGCUCUUGUUUUUCACUGGGCCAAUAUCAGUUUUGACGAUAGAGCACCUCUGGAAAUGUGGCUAUCUUCGGAUAGUGUUAUAGUCUGGAGACGAUCUAUUGUUGGGACUGAGGUCUGCGCUUUUGCUAGGAUAUUGGCAUAAUGACCUUAAGCCGCCCGUCUUGAAACACGGACCAAGGAGUCUAACG